rnacentral:rRNA from 1 species
UUCGGUCAAAUGACUUUUGAACUUAGUGGCGGACGGGUGAGUAACGCGUGAGGAACCUGCCUUUCAGAGGGGGACAACAGUUGGAAACGACUGCUAAUACCGCAUGAUACAUUUGGGUGGCAUCAUCUGAAUGUCAAAGAUUUAUCGCUGAAAGAUGGCCUCGCGUCUGAUUAGCUGGUUGGUGAGGUAACGGCCCACCAAGGCGACGAUCAGUAGCCGGACUGAGAGGUUGACCGGCCACAUUGGGACUGAGAUACGGCCCAGACUCC